rnacentral:lncRNA from 1 species
AGCUUUUGUCGUGAAUCCGAGCUCAAUCCUCCACAGAUAUGACGCCCAGAAAAUUCAGACCCAGCCUGGCUCUAAGGCCAUGUUAGUGAGUUAGAUUCAAAUAGUGAAUUUUGAUGAUGUUUAUGGAAGAAUAUUAGAAAAAUUGAAGAAAGAGGAAGAAGAAUUCUGAUAAAAAAUACAGAGAAUGUGACUCUGCACAUCUUCCAUAUAUUUCAGCACACUAAGCAUAUGAGCUCAUACAAGACAAAAUAUAACAGUUGAGAGAGAGAGAGAGAGAGAUACAACUCAAGGUUCAAUCUCAGCCAUCCAUUCUAUACUACACUGAGAUUAGAACACUUGUCACAUAUCAAGCCCUAUGAGACGUAACUAACACAUUACAUUUUAAAAACAUAAGCUCAGCUUAGGGAUGGGCAAAAUACCCAUGGAUUUGGGUAACUACAAUUAUGGGUAAUCGUUUAGACAAACAAACAGUUAUGGGUGUAACCGUUUAUCCGGAAAUUUAAAUGGACGGUUAUGGGUAUUACCCGCUGUUGUAAUUGAAGGAAAUUUUGUGAAAAACAUGUUCAUUUAAGCAACAUCUAUAAGCAUGCAAUUAACAAUUAAAGGCGGAAUCAUG